rnacentral:rRNA from 1 species
GAUGAACGCUGGCGGCGUGCCUAAUACAUGCAAGUCGAGCGAACGGACGAGAAGCUUGCUUCUCUGAUGUUAGCGGCGGACGGGUGAGUAAAACGUGGAUAACCUACCUAUAAGACUGGGAUAACUUCGGGAAACCGGAGCUAAUACCGGAUGAUAUUUUGAACCGCAUGGUUCAAAAGUGAAAGACGGUCUUGCUGUCACUUAUAGAUGGAUCCGCGCUGCAUUAGCUAGUUGGUAAGGUAACGGCUUACCAAGGCAACGAUGCAUAGCCGACCUGAGAGGGUGAUCGGCCACACUGGAGCUGAGACACGGUCCAGACUCCUACGGGAGGCAGCAGUAGGGAAUCUUCCGCAAUGGGCGAAAGCCUGACGGAGCAACGCCGCGUGAGUGAUGAAGGUCUUCGGAUCGUAAAACUCUGUUAUUAGGGAAGAACAUAUGUGUAAGUAACUGUGCACAUCUUGACGGUACCUAAUCAGAAAGCCACGGCUAACUACGUG